CUGACAAUCACCCUGCCGAGGGAGGCAGGCCUGAGAGGCCGCGAGCUAGGACGCUUGCACCAUACACGGUGCACGGGGUCUACGGGACAGGGGCCGUGCACGUGGAGCAGCGGCAUGAAAGUACACAAAACACAAGCCACGAACAUGCCUGAGGUCGCAGGGAAGAGGAGAGAAAGGCAGAGAAAGAGCCAGGCUCAGGAGCAGAGGCCGGAGGUCAGAGGCGGGCUUGGCUCUAAGCACCCCGAAGGCAAGCAAAGCCAAGGUCAGAUCUGGCACAGCAUUCCCGAGCCCCGAAAAGCUCCUUAGCCAACCGUCCGGGAGAAAUGAGACUUUACUGAUACGAGACGAAGGCAAAAUUUCUCACACAGAUCCUCUCACGUGUCAGGCUCCUAAGUGUAAGUGAACAGCAUCCCAAAAGGAGGCUCAGGGACAGACUCCGUGUGUCUGUCCCCUCUCCCUCACUGGGAGCCACCGGCAGGAUUCUGAAGCAUGACUCACAGCCAGAAGUUACACAAACUUCAUCCUGUUUAUUUUGGCUCAUGCUUCUCGCCUCCAGAGGUCUCUCUGACCCUGGUGUGCGUUCAAGGAUUUGCUAAGCCCGUGAGCACGCGCUGUCUGCAUGUGUGAUAGGCGCCUACUCCCUCCUUCAGCCAAGUUACUGAAGUUAAAAACGGGAAAAUCACGGGUCAGCAAAGAAACACCGGUGCCGGGAGAGGAAAAGCCAAGGAGCCUGGGUCCAAGGCCUGGCCACCCAGCCACGGGCAUGGCCCCACGUGGGGACCCAGCAUCUCUGCCCGAGGGACAGCUAGGACCGGCACCCGCACCCGACAGGCAGGACCGGCUGCGGCCAGCUGCCACGAGGGAUCCCGGACACGAUGCCUCCACCUACACAGGGCUCGUGGACACAGGACAGGGCAGGCUGUGCUGACGCAGGCGCAUCCUUCCGGAACGCCAGCGUGGCUGGACGCGUUUGCCCACGACAGCCUGGGACACAGCUCUCAGCCGUGUCAGUGUUGACAACCACGUUGCUUUCAAGACAGGAGCCAUCACAGGAGACCUGUGAGCCGUGGCUGAUGGGCUCUGCUCCUCCACGGCCUGCAUGAGGUGGCCCACGGCCAGCCACGCCCAGAGGAGCGUGCUCACGGGCUCAGCCACCCUCGGGAGGGGCCAGCUCGCUGGCUCUGCCCUUUCUUCCCACCCUACCGUGGACUGACGGUUCCAUAAAACAGUAAAAGACGGUCUUGCAUGUUGUUACUAUGACAUUGUGUUAACACUGCUGCUGACCUGUGACACGGCGGCCUGCGGGCUGGCACCCGUCACAGGCAGCACCCAGGGCACCAUGUCCUCAGGUGACGCCCCAGGCCACUUCUCGGCCCAGGAGCCUACAGGUACAACAUGAAAGGACCGUGCCCGCACCCCUGCCAGGUGGGCAGUCCCAGAGAGAUGGGGACGGGCAGACAGCGAGCUCCUUGCUCACAUGACCUGGCUCACCUCUCCCACGAGCCCACAGGAGAAAUGGGUGAUUUGACAAGGAGCCAACGCCAGGCGGCUCUGUGGCCCCGAGGGCUCUGUUUCCCACGGAGCCGCCUGUGAGCUCGGCGGCCACACAUCCAGGAUCGCACAUUCCCCAGAGAAGGCCGUUCAGACUGCAGAGGCACGUGGGCGCUGGGGUGCAAUUUGUCAAACGUUCUGUUCUUUGCCGUCUCUGCCUCCUGAUAUGGCACCAAGCAGCCAGGACCGCCUCUCCUGGCUCACAGGUGCAGGGUAGGCAGGGGCUCUACCCAGCAGGCGGGACAGAGAGGCAGACAGCAGGGAGGACAGAGGAGCAGCCACAGGAAGAACUCGCAAGGGCCCUGCCCGGGGUGGGCAGCCUCCAGACUGAGGAACCUUCCUUUUUGCAGGGCUGGGUCCCACUACGGGGAGGUAGAGAACCGGAGUCUCUCAAGGCUGCAUCCCCUUCCUUGGGGGCCUCGACGUGUCAGCGUCCUGUGGAGCCCAGUGUCGAGGAGGGGUGGCCGGGGCAGGGCCAGAAGGCUGCCCCAACCCCUCAGGACCUCCCGGAGGCAGGACGCCCACCCAGGCCAACUCUUAGGUGACCUUCCGGCCCAUUCCUUAAAAGUCUGGUUGGCAAAAAUACAUAAUAACGUAUAUGAUAACAGAGAGGAAAGCAAAAUACGUUUUUCUCCAACGUACAAUUCAAAACAAAAACUGAGUAGUUCAAAGCACAAUACAGAAAACUUUAAAUGAAAACCGACUUUCUGAAAAUAAAUCAGGGUAUCGACCCAUUCCAAAGACAAACAUACAUACUUUCCAAGCUGGUUUUAGGAGUCAGGAGGUUAUUUCAUUAGUAACAUAUACAGGCAGUGAUGACGCUUAAAUAUUAGAUUUCUCUGGGAUUUAGCGACAUUAUUUCCUUUGCAGAGAAGGUGGCCCUAUGGCUUGGAUUUGUACCAUGAGAUAUUUAAAUAAUCAUGACAUUGUAAGCCUCAUUUGCCGGGUCUAAGUCUUUACAGGCAAACCGCAGGGAAGGCAGGGAGACACCUACUGUCCAGGAUCAGGUCAGAAUGUUCCAUGAACCCCACUAAACAGCACAACACGAGACCCGGAAGGAGGGACAGUGGGGGGAAGGAAGGGGUCCAGGGCCAGCUCCUCCUUCCCAUCACAGGUCCUCAGGCACAAGCCAGGGCGGUGACCCCAGCUGCACACAGAGCUGCUGCCCCCAGGAAAACAGGCAGAUAGGUCGGAAGGAAGGAGUGUUGGCAGGAAAGAUUUUCUCUUUUCCUUUCAGGUGCACAGAAACCUGCGGGAAGCGGCACAGGACAGAGCCAUGUUCUGGGCACCGACGGCCCAUGCUGCCACUUCCAGUCUUCUGGUCAUGUCCUCAGACUGAGACCCCGCGUUCGUGUUCGGCUCAGGAAGGCAGGCGUUGGCUCAGCCUGCCCAGGGGAAAGUGGACACCCGUGUGCUGACCUGUGUGGGUGGCCAGCGAGAGCAAAGGACCCAUCACCCUGAAACUGUCAUCCAUUCUCAACAAGCCCUGGGGAUUCUGGACUGAGCUUUGCCAAUAGCCCGCAGACAGCGUCCGCGACUUCCCGGCCCCAGCUGUCUGCGGCAAGGACGCGGAGAACCUUCGCACACAUGCUUGACAGCCUCGUGCUGCCCCAGCUCCUCAUGAUGAUGCCAACUCGAUCUCGGGCCCUGGGAAGUGGGAGCCACGCGGCUUCUACUGAAAACUCGCAUGUGUGGCCUUCCUGCUGUGAAAACAGGACGCGGUGGUGCGGA